GCCCUAGUAGCUUAGACAUAAAGCGCCGGUCUUGUAAUCCGGAGAU
rnacentral:tRNA from 1 species